AAAUAAAUUCAAAAGAGACUGAAAUUCCAAAAUAUAACAUUAAUUCUUCUGAUCUGCUGCUUAAUUCUCUGUUUUUUCCUACGUACCAGACUGCUGUGGUCAGGCAGCUCAGCCCCAUCCAACCACUUGCUCCUCAGCAGGAUGGGGAAGAAAAUUGAGAAGGUGCAAUUUUGAGAACACAUGGGAUGUGAUAAAUACAUUUCUAUGACAGAAGGAGAAGCAGCAUGCACAAGCAAAGGAAAAAAAAAGCAGUUCAUUCAUUGCUUUCUGUUGGCAGGCAGAUGUUCAGCCACUUACAGGAACACAGGGCUCAUCAGGCAUGGCAGUUUCUUGGGAAGACAAACUUAAUUUCUCCUCAUCCUUCCUCCUUCUUUCCCCAGGCUUCCAUUGCUGAGCACAACCUUGAAAGGCAUGAGAUAUCUCUUUGGCCAGUUUGGUUCAACUGUCCUGUCUGAGUCUCCUCCUGGCUCCUUGCUGACUCUGAGCUCCUUGCUGGCAGGGCAAAGUGAGAACCAACAACAUUUCAGCCUCCCAUAGACCUCCACAGGAGAAAAGACAAAAAUAGACAAUAUUAUCUCAGAAGUUCUUGAUGUUGAGCAGUACCUAGAGAUGUGGAUCCAUGAUAUUGGUAUAUCUGCUAUAUUUCACUUUUGUUUUCCUACACUAAAUGUCUUGAGGGAUAAUAAAGCCCCAGGAGGAAUGUUUCCAACCAAGAAGCAUUCAAUACAAAAUGUAGAACAAACUGUUUACCCUGAUUUCCACAGGUCUCUUAGACAUCACAAAUUAUUACUCUUCCUCUGCCCCAGAAAUGGAGCUGCUGUUCAAAGAUAUAUAUAUAUCUAUAUUUAUAUAUAAAAUAUCUUGUGUUGAAUAUGUUGUCCUCUCUGAACUGCACUGGUGCAUAACUUAAUUUUUUGUACAUAGUUCACCCUCAGCAAGUUUGUUUGUGAUACAAAGCUGGGGGGAGAGGCUGACAUACCAGAAGGCUGUGCUGCCAUUCAGCAAGACUGGACAGGUUGGAGAGCUGGGCAGAGAGGAACUUUAGGAGGCUCCACAAGGGCAAGUGUAGAGUCGUAGGCCUGGGGAGAAAUAAUCAGAUAAGUCUCAGAUGUUUGAUCUUGUGGCUGGAUUUGCACAUGUGUAUGGAGCCAAUGUAACCAGAAGGACACGUGGUAUGGCUGGGAUGUUUGCAUACUGGUGUCAAAGUGGGCUGACAUCCAUUGUAUGGCUCCAAGAAUCACUUAUUUUUGAGGGAGUAAGUGUACCUUGACAAUAUUUUACCUAGACAGCAGAAAGCUGUUCUCCAUUUUUCUCCCAUAUAAAGUUUUCUCCAUGUGAAGUGCUGAAUUUUGAGAGAGAUUGGCACCCGUGGUUCCUAACUUCAUCUGGACUUCUGUAUGCCUAGCAGCUUUGCAAAGCAGGCCUUGAAAAUGUAUGGAUAUUAC
rnacentral:lncRNA from 1 species